UACGAAGGGAGCUAGCGUUGUUCGGAAUCACUGGGCGUAAAGCGCACGUAGGCGGAUGUGUCAGUCAGGGGUGAAAUCCCGGAGCUCAACUUCGGAACUGCCUCUGAUACAGCAUCGUCGUUGAGUCCGAUGAGAGGUGGGUGGAAUUCCUAGUGUAGAGGUGAAAAUUCGUAGAUAUUAGGGAAGAACACCGGUGGCGAA
rnacentral:rRNA from 1 species